rnacentral:rRNA from 1 species
UGCGUAGGCGGCCUUUUAAGUCAGCGGUGAAAGUCUGUGGCUCAACCAUAGAAUUGCCGUUGAAACUGGGGGGCUUGAGUAUGUUUGAGGCAGGCGGAAUGCGUGGUGUAGCGGUGAAAUGCUUAGAUAUCACGCAGAACCCCGAUUGCGAAGGCAGCCUGCCAAGCCAUGACUGACGCUGAUGCACGAAAGCGUGGGGAUCAAACA